CAGUCGCCGCGGUAAUACGGAGGAUCCAAGCGUUAUCCGGAUUUAUUGGGUUUAAAGGGUGCGUAGGUGGCCUGUUAAGUCAGGGGUGAAAGACGGUAGCUUAACUAUCGCAGUGCCCUUGAUACUGAUGGGCUUGAAUGAACUAGAGGUAGGCGGAAUGUGACAAGUAGCGGUGAGAUGCAUAGAUAUGUCACAGAACACCAAUUGCGAAGGCAGCUUACUAUGGUUUUAUUGACACUGAGGCACGAAAGCGUGGGGAUCAAACAGGAUUAGAUACCCGAGUAGUCCCUGUCUCUUAUAC
rnacentral:rRNA from 1 species